GAAGGACUGAGGCCCUUGAGAGAGCGGAGGGGGUCCCCCGGAGAGACAACGGAGAUUGUAUAGAGAAGGGCCCUUUUCUCCACCCCCACACUCAGGGCUGGGGAUCCUCGCCUAGCAUCUCAGCUUUGACGCUUCCCUUGUUUCUGACCUGAACAGAAUCUUAGAGAAAGCAAGUGAUCUGGGGAAAGAGGCAGCAGAGUCAUAACUCAGCUGUACACCAGAGAGAUUUGGAUAGAAAGAUAAGUAUUCAGUGGAGGAGGAUGCUCAGGUGCCUUAGCCAACAGUGGUGCCAAAGUCUUGCGGCAACAGGACCGUCCUCCCAUGGGGCUGACACCCUCCAUUUCUUCAGAGUCCUGUGACCCGAUGGCUACAUUGCAGUCCUUGAGUCAAGUGUGAGAGGAAAAUGAAUAGUCAGAGAGAAUAUGGAACGCGAAACUAUUUUUUGAAAGCAUGCAUGAGACUUAUUGUGCAAACAAGAGGACCCGUGCUCAGAUCUCCAGCACUCAUGUUAAAAGAUGGGUUAGCAGGAUGUGCCUGUCACUCCGGUCUGGUGAAGACAGGGAGAUGGGGACAGGAUGACUCUUGCAGCUUGCUGGACAGCUAGUGUAGUGGAACGGGCAAGCUCCAAGUUCAGUGAGAGAAUUUCUUAGGAUUUUAACGACAUGAAGAGACACAGUACAACUCUUAUAAAGGAAAAUGUUGUGGUUUGCC
rnacentral:sRNA from 1 species